rnacentral:rRNA from 1 species
AGUGAACGCUGGCGGUAGGCCUAACACAUGCAAGUCGAACGGCAGCACAGUAAGAGCUUGCUCUUACGGGUGGCGAGUGGCGGACGGGUGAGGAAUACAUCGGAAUCUACUUUUUCGUGGGGGAUAACGUAGGGAAACUUACGCUAAUACCGCAUACGACCUACGGGUGAAAGCAGGGGAUCUUCGGGCCUUGCGCGAUUGAAUGAGCCGAUGUCGGAUUAGCUAGUUGGCGGGGUAAAGGCCCACCAAGGCGACGAUCCGUAGCUGGUCUGAGAGGAUGAUCAGCCACACUGGAACUGAGACACGGUCCAGACUCCUACGGGAGGCAGCAGUGGGGAAUAUUGGACAAUGGGCGCAAGCCUGAUCCAGCCAUACCGCGUGGGUGAAGAAGGCCUUCGGGUUGUAAAGCCCUCUUGUUGGGAAAGAAAAGCAGCAGGUUAAUACCCCGCUGUUCUGACGGUACCCAAAGAAUAAGCACCGGCUAACUUCGUG